rnacentral:rRNA from 1 species
GACGAACGCUGGCGGCGUGCUUAACACAUGCCAGUCGAACGGAAAGGCCCUGCUUUUGUGGGGUGCUCGAGUGGCGAACGGGUGAGUAACGCGUGAGUAACCUGCCCUUGACUUUGGGAUAACUUCAGGAAACUGGGGCUAAUACCGGAUAGGAGCUCCUGCUGCAUGGUGGGGGUUGGAAAGUUUCGGCGGUUGGGGAUGGACUCGCGGCUUAUCAGCUUGUUGGUGGGGUAGUGGCUUACCAAGGCUUUGACGGGUAGCCGGCCUGAGUGGGUGACCGGCCACAUUGGGACUGAGAUACGGCCCAGACUCCUACGGGAGGCAGCAGUGGGGAAUAUUGCACAAUGGGCGGAAGCCUGAUGCAGCAACGCCGCGUGCGGGAUGACGGCCUUCGGGUUGUAAACCGCUUUCGCCUGUGACGAAGCCUGAGUGACGGUAAUGGGUAAAGAAGCACCGGCUAACUACGUG